rnacentral:rRNA from 1 species
AAUAGAUACCCCAGGUAGUCCACGCCGUAAACGAUGGAUACUAGGUGUUCGGGAAAUUAACCUCCUGAGUACUAAAGCUAACGCAUUAAGUAUCCCGCCUGGGGAGUACGGUCGCAAGGCUAAAACUCAAAGGAAUUGACGGGGGCCCGCACAAGCGGUGGAGUAUGUGGUUUAAUUCGAAGCAACGCGCAGAACCUUACCUACCCUUAACAUCCCAAGACAUCCACAGAGAUGUGGCUUUCCCUUCGGGGACUUGGAGAUAGGUGCUGCAUGGCUGUCGUCAGCUCGUGUCGUAAGAUGUCCGGUUAAGUCCGAUAACGAGCGCAACCCUUGUCCUUAGUUACCAUCAUUAAGUUGGGGACUCAUGCGAGACUGCCGGUGACAAACCGGAGGAAGCGGGGAUGACGUCAAGUCAUCAUGCCCCUUAUGUCCAGGGCUACACACGUGCUACAUUGGCGCAUACAAACGGCUGCGAUACCGCGAGGUGAGCGAAUCCGAAAAAGUGCGUCUCGGUUCGGAUUGGAGCUGAAACUCGCUC